rnacentral:rRNA from 1 species
UACGUAGGUGGCAAGCGUUGUCCGGAUUUACUGGGCGUAAAGCGCGUGUAGGCGGCUUGGUAAGUCCGUUCUGAAAGCCCGGGGCUCAACCCCGGGAGGCGGAUGGAUACUGUCAAGCUUGAGUCCGGAAGAGGCGAGUGGAAUUCCCGGUGUAGCGGUGAAAUGCGCAGAUAUCGGGAGGAACACCAAUGGCGAAGGCAGCUCGCUGGGACGUGACUGACGCUGAGACGCGAAAGCGUGGGGAGCAAACAGG